CAAAUACUCCCUUCGUUCUAAAAUUCUUGUCUUAGAUUUGUUUAAAUAUGAAUGUAUCUAGUCAAGUUUUAGUAUUUAGAUACGUCCAUUUCUAGACAAAGUUAAGACAAAAAUUUUGGGACGGAGGGAGAAGACA
rnacentral:pre_miRNA from 1 species